UACAGAGGGUGCGAGCGUUGUCCGGAAUCACUGGGCGUAAAGGGCGCGUAGGCGGAUGGCUUUGUCGGGCGUGAAAUUCCAGGGCUUAACCUUGGGGCUGCGUUCGAGACGGGUUGUCUUGAGUGGGGAAGAGGGUCGUGGAAUUCCCAGUGUAGAGGUGAAAUUCGUAGAUAUUGGGAAGAACACCGGUGGCGAAGGCGGCGACCUGGUCCUUUACUGACGCUGAGGCGCGAAAGCGUGGGGAGCAAACAGG
rnacentral:rRNA from 1 species